CACGUAGGGAGCAAGCGUUGUCCGGAUUUAUUGGGCGUAAAGCGCUCGUAGGUGGUUCGGUAAGUCGGGUGUGAAAACUCUGGGCUCAACUCAGAGACGCCACCCGAUACUGCUGUGACUUGAGUCUGGUAGGGGAGUGUGGAAUUCCCAGUGUAGCGGUGAAAUGCGCAGAUAUUGGGAGGAACACCAGUGGCGAAGGCGGCACUCUGGGCCAGUACUGACACUGAGGAGCGAAAGCGUGGGUAGCGAACAGG
rnacentral:rRNA from 1 species